AUGGGCGAAAGCCUGACGGAGCAAGACCGCGUGGGGGAGGAAGGUUCUUGGAUUGUCAACCCCUUUUCUCAGGGAAGAACACAAUGACGGUACCUGAGGAAAAAGCAUCGGCUAACUCCGUGCCAGCAGCCGCGGUAAUACGGGGGAUGCAAGCGUUAUCCGGAAUGAUUGGGCGUAAAGAGUCCGUAGGUAGUCAUCCAAGUCUGCUGUUAAAGAGCGAGGCUUAACCUCGUAAAGGCAGUGGAAACUGGAAGACUAGAGUGUAGUAGGGGCAGAGGGAAUUCCUGGUGUAGCGGUGAAAUGCGUAGAGAUCAGGAAGAACACCGGUGGCGAAGGCGCUCUGCUGGGCUAUAACUGACACUGAGGGACGAAAGCUAGGGGAGCGAAUGGGAUUAGAUACCCCAGUAGUCCUAGCGGUAAACGAUGGAAACUAGGUGUGGCCUGUAUCGACCCGGGCCGUGCCGAAGCAAACGCGUUAAGUUUCCCGCCUGGGGAGUACGCACGCAAGUGUGAAACUCAAAGGAAUUGACGGGGGCCCGCACAAGCGGUGGAGUAUGUGGUUUAAUUCGAUGCAACGCGAAGAACCUUACCAGGACUUGACAUCUCUGGAAUCUCCUUGAAAGGGGAGAGUGCCGUAAGGAACCAGAA
rnacentral:rRNA from 1 species